rnacentral:lncRNA from 1 species
CAGCUAAAGAAACCGGCUCAGAGAAUGUUAUUUGAUUGGACCGUGUUGCAUCUCUGGACAGUGCAGCUGAGAUCAGACUUUGUGUGUAACUCCACUAGCCUACCAGGGUGCCUCUCAUAAAGCUACCCUUCUUCGGCUGGCAACACACAGGACCUGGCGGGGAGGUCGCUCUUACCAGUCCCCACUCUGACGAGAAGACUGCCCAGCUCCAGGCACCGUAGGGCCCCAGUGACGUAGCCGAACACCCACGCCUCUGACGUCGCCAGAGGCCCACCUCUAUGGUGUCGGCGAAGGCGCGCCAUUGUGACGUCACGGAAGGCGCGCUCUUGUGACGCCACGGAAGGCGCGCUCUUGCGGCGUCACGGAAGGCGCGCUCUUGUGAGGUCGCAGGGGACCGCCACUCACGCGGAGCCAAUCGGAACUCGCGGCGGGGCUGCUGGGUCUUCCAGGAGCGCGCUUGAGCGGACGCUGCCUACCGGUGGCCGGGCGGGAUGUAACCCGCUGCUGAGCUGGCAGCUCUGUGUCGCUAGGCUUCGGCCCGGCCGCCGCCGCACAUAAGCUGCGAGGAGGAGCUUUACGACUUCCCGGUCUUCGGGGCCGGGCGCAGCAAGGGCCAGACUCUGCGCUAGCAGGCGCUGCGCGCCAACCGGCCGGCACCUGUCGCAGAAGGUGCAACCGAUCGCACUGUCGCGCCGAAGCUCCUCAAUGGCCAGCGCCAGCUGCAGCCCCGGCCGCCCACUCGCCUCACCUGAGCCUGGGAGCUUGAAAAAUCACAUUUGAGAAGAGGAUUGGAUCCUAGCCAUAACAUAAAUAUAAGGGUGGAACCAAAGUUUUAAUCAAAGAAGGUGGUGUUCAGUUGCUGCUUACAAUAGUUGAUACCCCAGGAUUUGGAGAUGCAGUGGAUAACAGUAAUUGCUGGCAGCCUGUUAUCAAUUACAUUGAUAUUAAAUUUGAGGACUACCUAAAUGCAGAAUCGCGAGUGAACAGAUGUCAGAUGCCUGGUAACAGGGUGCAGUGUUGUUUAUACUUCAUUGCUCCUUCAGGACAUGGACCAUUACAUAACUGAAGACUCCCACCUUCAGGCAGGAUUGGGUAGUACGUGUUUGUAACUACCUGGCAUUGCCUUUUGUUGAGGAAGGGUAGAUGUCUACCCAAAUGGAAUAUUGAGUAUCAGAGACUUCAAAUGAUAACUUUUGUUUGUUUGGAGAAAAUCUUGAGGACGUGAUCACUGUACAAAAGCAUGGCAAAAUGAGGAAACCACUGACAGGUGAAGAAUUUGCACAAUGGAAAACCACCUUGACCAUCUCAUGACUUUAUACAGGAAUCGGAGGUAAGUGUUCCUUUAAAGUGAUUUUGUCAUGAAAGAGUCAUCUGAAAUGACUCUCGUGAUGGAGGAAAGGAAAGUAAUGAAAUCAACAUUCAUGGUUAUUUAAAAUGCCUUAAAAGCUAAGCAUAAUAUACAUAGUAACUCCUUUUCCUAGUAUAAAAAUAGUGCCAGAAACUAUAUUUGUUCAAAUAUAUUGAAAAGGUAUAAGAAUACAAAUAGAUAUUAACAGUGGCUAGUGAUGCCUCAUAAGGUUUUCUUAAACUGUAAUAUAAAUUUAUAUUUUCAACUAUUUACAUUGCUUUCAACAACAUUCAUUAAGACAUGUUUACACAGGCUUUUAGUAAGUAUAUGGAAUGGUAAAGUGAGCUUUAAUACUUUCUUCUUCACUCUCUGUAGUAGAGCAGAAGGGGUCCAAAACCAUGCACAAUUUAACAGUCCAGAAGAACUGUGUAAUCUUUACCUGGCUAGCACAUGGAAAAAAUAAACUAUAUACAAGAAUACAAAACUCCUAAAGUGUUCUUCAACUAUCAGCAGGUUAAGUGAUUCAUACUUGCAAAAAGACAGGAUGUUUGUUUACUGGUAGAUUCUUAGUAAGUUUCAGGUAAAGAAGGUGCAUAAAACAUAUGUUAUUGAUGAAAAUGGAAAUGAUGCAGUAUACCCCAUGUUCUCACAUUAAAUUGGCAGUAUCAGAAGCUAAGUCUCUUCUCUAGCACCUCCUUCAGGGACCGUGAGCUCCUUGGGGUCACUGCUCUGUCUCCACAGCAGAGCACGGUACCUAACAUGUGGCAGGACUCAAUAAAAGGUGGGUCAGUGUAUUUCUGAUACAAAACAAUUAAAUUGUGCCACCUUAUUUUGACUACAGUUGUUCAUAAGAGAGGAUAACGAUGACAUUUUGUAUCCUCUCAUAUUAAAUCAAUCUUGUAAACAAAAGACAAUUGCUUGUGAUGGCCUGUUAAGUUUUAGGAGUACAAUCUGGUGAAAAACACAGAAAAAAAUUGUAGAUCAAAUUGGAACAGGUCUAAUAUUUAUUUGCUAUGCUGAAAAUAAAGGCACUUCACUGCUAGGCAAGAAUAUAUCUGUGACUGAACAGUUUUCUCCAAGAAUCCAAUAUUUCCAGUAUAUUUUCAUAUACUUUCUUAUCUCUAAUACUCCUAUUAAAGGAAACUAUUAUUCAAAAUUAAGAGACAGUGGUGACAACAUCAUCAUCCUGGGUUUGUACCUUGAAGCAAUAUACUCAAUGAGCUCUAAAUCUCACAUUCACUAGUGAUCUGCAAGUGAAGCUGAAUAAAUAUAUUCUCUUUGUUCAGUCAUGGAAACUCAACAUUAGAAAUGACAUGUGGGAAUAGAUCACCUUCUCUCUAGACUAAUAUCCCAUUUCUGACAGUGGUCUCCAUGGCCCAUUGGGGCUUAUAAAGUAGCUGCCUUCUGUGACAUUCUGCUUGAAGACAAAGGCUUUGCCCAAACAUAACUCCUUUUAAAAAAGCACAACUUGUUUAGGCACACAGAGGUUAAGUGACUUACACAAAUCCACCCAGGAUUGUGAUUGGCACGGUCUAAUCUACUGAAAAAUAUAAGGCCAGGCAAUUAUAUAGAUAUCUUUUAACAAGUUAGUAAAAUAGUGGGGACUUUUCUGGCUAAAAAUUGUAAUUAAAUGGUAUGUUACUCUGUUAUAACUAAACAAACAAAAAAUCUAGAACAAGAACUUCUUGCUAGUUAUGGGUAAUAUAAAUACAGAGUAAGGUGAAGGAGGACUGUAUGUAUAUUUUUCCAACUUGAGAAGAUACUAGAAAGGAAAUUAAAAAUUAUUUGAACCAAUUAACCAGCCCUAAAGAAGUACUCUGCUUUGUAUGAACUAAAAUAUCCAACAAAGAAAUAAAAUAGGCAUUGCCCAGCUUCCUUUAAUGUCUCAACUAGUAAAGUAAAAUAAACAAUAUUCAAAGGCAGACCAAACCAUUUCUAAUCUAAAUAUAUCUUCUUGCUUAUUAAAAUGACACACAUACAAAGCCUCUAAACACGAUCUACCAUGUCUUUAAAAAAUUUCUCAGUGACACAUACUAGAGGGGACCAAACAAACUACUAAAGCAUAAGUACAUAUUUUAGCAUAACUGCUAAAUCACAAUGUAAUAAAAAGGUUUAUUAAAGAUUGCUAUUCUUUAUGCAAUUUUUCUAUACUAAGGAUUUAUGUAUGCAUGCAUAAGUAUACACCUGUAUGUAUAUAUAACUAUUAUUUUAGUGAUAGUCUGUGUAUUUUACACACCAGUGCCACAAAGGGGCAACCUUACAAAUUUUAUCUGUAUGGCAAAAAAAAUAAAAUAUCCUGAAAAUACAAGUAUACAAUACAUAUAGCAUUAAACAGUUGGUAACUUCCUAGAUUAACCUUUACCAAAUACAAAAUAAUGGCAAUACAAUGUGUUUUGCUUCUAUUUUUUGUUUUUUUACCAGAAUGAUAAAAAUAAAACUGCAUUAUGUCAAGAUAUUUGUACACACUCAGAAUUUUAAAAACUUAAGGAACAUACUGAAUUUUAGGCAAAAUUUAGGGGAAUCGGGACAUAGAUGGAAAACACAUUUUGGCGAAAGGUCCUUGAGAAUGCUGGAUUACCAUGUCCCUUAGAAAUUUUCUAUCCAAAUUAGUGAUAGAAACUCAGAUCAAAUAUCUUUUUUGUGGGUUGGAGGUAGAAGUUAACAAAUCAAGCAAAUCUCUCCUUCUACUCUCCCCAAAUCCAAACAUUCCUGCAUAUUUGAAACAAAUUUUCCUUUCCUAGACCAGUUGCUUAAUUCAUUAUCUACUUCUCCAAUAUUGAGUAAAUGUGUCUUUAGGGGCACACAUGUAGAAUAUUAAUCCACUUAAAUGGGCUCAAAUUCUAAGAAAAUAUUAACUAUACUAAAUGUUAUGGGAAGAAAAUACAUUGAAUGUGAGUUAAGGGCCAGUGUUUAGCAUUCACAUCCAGGAUUCUCUGGAUCUCAGUUGACUUGUCCUAUACAUCAAAAUAUGGCAAUUUUUCAAUCACAAUACUGCUAAAUGUUAUUCAGGCAUAAAGUUUCUUACCCACUGUUCCCUCAAAUUCAUUUUUGACCCUAGUAUUGGCAAUAGCCCUUUGCUAUUUAUAUAAUUAAAACUUUUCUUUAAAUUUCAAUUGACAGGAAAAAGAGUCAUUUUGUACUCUCUUAUCUAUAACCAUGUCUCACUUCAAGUCAAUGCUACAAUUGUCACUUUUAUUUUGAAAAGGAAGCUCAGAAGGAAAAAAACUCUUAGAGAGAUCUUCUAACAGAACAUUUUUCUUCACUGAUAGACAUCCAAGGCCAUUCCAUUUCUAAAUCACACUUAUCCCUCAAUCAAGUCAGUGACUGGAUCAUCUCCUAAGGUUUCACCUGCUUUGCAUCAGGUAGGUGAGAUGAAAGUGAUUUUAUGGGUAGCUUUCAGAAAAAUGUACUGCACUGAAGUGACAAAGUUCUGUCUUGCCUGUUCUCUCACAAAACAGCAUAUCAAUUAAAUAAUGUUUUCUUUACAAUACAGUUUCAUAGGACUUUCCAUUUGUUUCAGAGUGCCUUAACUUUUUAAAAAAAGACACUGUUAACAAAUACAAUUAUUUCUCUUAAAAUCCACUCAGCCAGCAUUUUUCACUAUCCUAUAAAGGCUUUAAAUGUCACAGAAUGUAUGAUAAUUUGCUCCUAACCUACUUUUGAAAAAGGAAAGAUUCCAAACAUUCUUGAAAAAAUGGUAAUUCAGAAAACACAAAAACCAAUUAUUUAAAAUAAUCCCCAAGCAAAAAAACCUCAGUGCAAGAAUACUGCAUACACUUUGCAGUACACGAAAUAUCACAAACAAUGCUUUUAUCAAUGUGCUAACAGUGGAUGUUGUUGAUCCUUUCAGUUCAGUAGCAUAAAACAAAUAUACAAAAAAUAUGUAAUAGUCCUCUAAAAACAUUCAUGCUAUACUCUCAAAAGUUGUGCAAAAAUAAAAAUACAGCAGUGGCAAAGUAUAUACCAAAUACAGACACUAUACAGACAGUGUGUAAGAAACUAGGCAUAUUGCAGAACACACCAUCUCUGUAAACUUCAACUCUGCAUGAAAUAGGCCACUCAGUUCCGCUUGGCCUGGCCGCUUUCCCCAUUAAUCAGCAUCUUCUCCUGCUGUUCUGCAAGGGCCUGCCAUUUCUGCCUGUUCUUUCUGCAGCCAUCUAGCAAAGGGAAACAGUCCUCUGACACGUGGGUCAGGGCCUAAAGAGAAAAAAGAAAGCAAACAGCUAGAGAGAAGCCAGGAAAUAAGUCCUCU